rnacentral:rRNA from 1 species
AUGAACGCUAGCUACAGGCUUAACACAUGCAAGUCGAGGGGCAGCAUGGUCUUAGCUUUGCUAAGGCCGAUGGCGACCGGCGCACGGGUGAGUAACACGUAUCCAACCUGCCGUCUACUCUUGGACAGCCUUCUGAAAGGAAGAUUAAUACAAGAUGGCAUCAUGAGUCCGCAUGUUCACAUGAUUAAAGGUAUUCCGGUAGACGAUGGGGAUGCGUUCCAUUAGAUAGUAGGCGGGGUAACGGCCCACCUAGUCUUCGAUGGAUAGGGGUUCUGAGAGGAAGGUCCCCCACAUUGGAACUGAGACACGGUCCAAACUCCUACGGGAGGCAGCAGUGAGGAAUAUUGGUCAAUGGGCGAGAGCCUGAACCAGCCAAGUAGCGUGAAGGAUGACUGCCCUAUGGGUUGUAAACUUCUUUUAUAAAGGAAUAAAGUCGGGUAUGGAUACCCGUUUGCAUGUACUUUAUGAAUAAGGAUCGGCUAACUCCGUGCCAGCAGCCGCGGUAAUACGGAGGAUCCGAGCGUUAUCCGGAUUUAUUGGGUUUAAAGGGAGCGUAGAUGGAUGUUUAAGUCAGUUGUGAAAGUUUGCGGCUCAACCGUAAAAUUGCAGUUGAUACUGGAUAUCUUGAGUGCAGUUGAGGCAGGCGGAAUUCGUGGUGUAGCGGCGAAAUGCUUAGAUAUCACGAAGAACUCCGAUUGCGAAGGCAGCCUGCUAAGCUGCAACUGACAUUGAGGCUCGAAAGUGUGGGUAUCAAACAGGAUUAGAUACCCUGGUAGUCCACACGGUAAACGAUGAAUACUCGCUGUUUGCGAUAUACUGCAAGCGGCCAAGCGAAAGCGUUAAGUAUUCCACCUGGGGAGUACGCCGGCAACGGUGAAACUCAAAGGAAUUGACGGGGGCCCGCACAAGCGGAGGAACAUGUGGUUUAAUUCGAUGAUACGCGAGGAACCUUACCCGGGCUUAAAUUGCAGAUGAAUUACGGUGAAAGCCGUAAGCCGCAAGGCAUCUGUGAAGGUGCUGCAUGGUUGUCGUCAGCUCGUGCCGUGAGGUGUCGGCUUAAGUGCCAUGACGAGCGCAACCCUUGUUGUCAGUUACUAACAGGUUCCGCUGAGGACUCUGACAAGACUGCCAUCGUAAGAUGUGAGGAAGGUGGGGAUGACGUCAAAUCAGCACGGCCCUUACGUCCGGGGCUACACACGUGUUACAAUGGGGGGUACAGAGGGCCGCUACCACGCGAGUGGAUGCCAAUCCCCAAAACCCCUCUCAGUUCGGACUGGAGUCUGCAAACCCGACUCCACGAAGCUGGAUUCGCUAGUAAUCGCGCAUUCAGCCACGGCGGCGGUAAAUACGUUUCCCGGGCC